GAUGAACGCUGGCGGCGUGCCUAAUACAUGCAAGUCGAGCGAACAGAUGAGGAGCUUGCUCCUCUGACGUUAGCGGCGGACGGGUGAGUAAAACGUGGAUAACCUACCUAUAAGACUGGGAUAACUUCGGGAAACCGGAGCUAAUACCGAAUAAUAUAUUGAACCGCAUGGUUCAAUAGUGAAAGACGGUUUUGCUGUCACUUAUAGAUGGAUCCGCGCCGCAUUAGCUAGUUGGUAAGGUAACGGCUUACCAAGGCGACGAUGCGUAGCCGACCUGAGAGGGUGAUCGGCCACACUGGAACUGAGACACGGUCCAGACUCCUACGGGAGGCAGCAGUAGGGAAUCUUCCGCAAUGGGCGAAAGCCUGACGGAGCAACGCCGCGUGAGUGAUGAAGGUCUUCGGAUCGUAAAACUCUGUUAUUAGGGAAGAACAAAUGUGUAAGUAACUAUGCACGUCUUGACGGUACCUAAUCAGAAAGCCACGGCUAACUACGUG
rnacentral:rRNA from 1 species